rnacentral:rRNA from 1 species
GACGAACGCUGGCGGCGCGCCUAACACAUGCAAGUCGAACGAGCGAGAGAGAGCUUGCUUUCUCGAGCGAGUGGCGAACGGGUGAGUAACGCGUGAGGAACCUGCCUCAAAGAGGGGGACAACAGUUGGAAACGACUGCUAAUACCGCAUAAGCCCACGACCCGGCAUCGGGUAGAGGGAAAAGGAGCAAUCCGCUUUGAGAUGGCCUCGCGUCCGAUUAGCUAGUUGGUGAGGUAACGGCCCACCAAGGCGACGAUCGGUAGCCGGACUGAGAGGUUGAACGGCCACAUUGGGACUGAGACACGGCCCAGACUCCUACGGGAGGCAGCAGUGGGGAAUAUUGCACAAUGGGCGCAAGCCUGAUGCAGCGACGCCGCGUGAGGGAUGGAGGCCUUCGGGUUGUAAACCUCUUUUGUUUGGGAGCAAGCCUUCGGGUGAGUGUAC